rnacentral:rRNA from 1 species
AGGACUAACGCUGGCGGCGUGCCUAACACAUGCAAGUCGAGCGGGGUAGCAAUACCCAGCGGCAGACGGGUGAGUAACGCGUGGUCAACCUUCCGUUGAAUGGGGGAUAACUAGCCGAAAGGUUAGCUAAUACCGCAUACGAUCUUUUGAAGGCAUCUUUAAAAGAUGAAAGGAGCAAUUCGUUCAACGACGGGACCGCGUCCCAUUAGCUAGAUGGUGGGGUAAUGGCCUACCAUGGCAACGAUGGGUAGCUGGUUUGAGAGAGCGACCAGCCACACUGGGACUGAGAAACGGCCCAGACUCCUACGGGAGGCAGCAGUGAGGAUUUUCCGCAAUGGGCGAAAGCCUGACGGAGCGACGCCGCGUGUGGGAAGAAGGCCUUCGGGUCGUAAACCACUGUCGAAGGGGACGAUAAUGACGGUACCCUUGGAGGAAGGCCCCGGCUAACUACGCGCCAGCAGCCGC